CCAUGUCGGAUCCGCGGGCGCGGACGCGCAUUUACUGUAACGGUUGACCAUGACUGUACACCAAGAGCCAAGAAGAGUCUACUACUAGUGGAUAUUUUCUUUGCUGGGACACGGUUGCGCUGAACCCUCUCGACCAUCGUUUCGGGGACUCUGAUGACAGUGAAGAGCCAGAAAAUGGUGACUUUGCAUCUCUGAGGUACCUUCCAACUCGCCUGGUAUAUCAGUUGAACCCUCAAGCCCAAGCCAAUUGCACUGGCAAACUCCACCAUCUC